UAGCUUUACUAUAUUGGAUUUCAACUCUGGCUUUGUACUGCUAUGAUGGUACAUAGGUUCUACUCAAAUUAUAGGGGAUCAAGUAGAAAAUACUAACCACUCGUUUUGAAACGAAAACAAAAUUAGAAAAAAUUUACCUAUCAAAUAACCCUUGGCUCCUGUACUGUACAACUCAUGAUCUCUACAUAGUGAUUUUAUUGCAAUGUGAAUUUUCACAUUUCUUGCGGAAAAAACACUUGAAAUAUGCAAUAAUGGGAGCUGAUUAUGGUUGGAUUAGGUGAUCCAGUUCCUUAAAUAUGUAAAAUACAGUCAUAAAUCAUUUAAAAGAUGUGAUUAAUGUUUGAAUUGUAUAAUCAAAUGCAGUAAGAAGUGAAUUGUCAAAACUAUUCUAACAAUCACUCGCAAGCCAUAUCAUAACCCCAAGAACUCUAGUCUCAGAGCUUUACUUUGAAACUCAGAGCUUAAGCUUUCAUGAUCCUGAAUGCACUAAAAAAUGAAAACCAUGUAUGCAUUGAUAAUUAACCCGAAGAAGUGGAAUCAAACAACUUCAACUUGAAACUCAGAGAUUGAACCAUUCUGCUUACCUUCAAGAAUUUUAGGCUUUCAUAUGCUUAUGAUAUGUACCAAAAAAAAAAAAAUUUACUUGAGGGGCUGAAAAUUGUUUUGCGUAUGCUAAAGCUCCAAAGUGAAAGGAAUAUAUUAGAAACAGAUAAAACGUGGACAAUUCUG
rnacentral:misc_RNA from 1 species